GCCCUCGUGGAUGAAUUGGCACAUCACCCAUUAGUUGUCGUGGAUGAAUGGAAGCAUAUAAAUGGGAGGCGGAGGUUCGAAUCCUCCUGGGGGCA